ACGGGUGAGUAAUGCCUAGGAAUCUGCCUGGUAGUGGGGGAUAACGCUCGGAAACGGACGCUAAUACCGCAUACGCCCUACGGGAGAAAGCAGGGGACCUUCGGGCCUUGCGCUAUCAGAUGAGCCUAGGUCGGAUUAGCUAGUUGGUGAGGUAAUGGCUCACCAAGGCGACGAUCCGUAACUGGUCUGAGAGGAUGAUCAGUCACACUGGAACUGAGACACGGUCCAGACUCUUACGGGAGGCAGCAGUGGGGAAUAUUGGACAAUGGGCGAAAGCCUGAUCCAGCCAUGCCGCGUGUGUGAAGAAGGUCUUCGGAUUGUAAAGCACUUUAAGUUGGGAGGAAGGGCAGUUACCUAAUACGUAUCUGUUUUGACGUUACCGACAGAAUAAGCACCGGCUAACUCUGUGCCAGCAGCCGCGGUAAUACAGAGGGUGCAAGCGUUAAUCGGAAUUACUGGGCGUAAAGCGCGCGUAGGUGGUUUGUUAAGUUGGAUGUGAAAUCCCCGGGCUCAACCUGGGAACUGCAUUCAAAACUGACAAGCUAGAGUAUGGUAGAGGGUGGUGGAAUUUCCUGUGUAGCGGU
rnacentral:rRNA from 1 species